GGGGAAGAGUUGGAAAGAACUGCUGCAAAUGAUAGCAAAUCAAGAAGUUAAUGUGGGAGCCUGCCCAUUAGAAGCAGACAGCGGGAGAGAGGUCUCUGAAAGAAAUCAGUGAGUUGGUAAUCAAAUUAAUAAGUGAUUUUUUAGCAGUAGUGGAAAAGUUAUUGUAACUGUUCCAUAGCAGGCAACCUCAGCUGCUGGAAAUUUACCUCUUGUGUGGAGCAUAAGGAGAGUCUUUUCCCCACUUAAUCCUCAAUACAAAGUGUGAUGAGGCUUAUUCAGGACCUGGCAGAGGCAGCUCUCCGGACCAGCAGCCUCUUACUCGCCCUUCAGCAGCACUGACCCUGCAGCAGCCCCACAUCACCCACAGAGCAGUAGUUUCAUUCUGCAUAAUCAGAGCCAGAAGAAAAAAACAUCAAUGAGCAAGGCAAUCUAAUCAGCAUUUUCCUCCACAUGGCGGUUAAAGGAAGCGUACAACCUGAGACCGCGGCGAGCAGAGCUCAAUAUCAGAGCUCGAGACACUGGUCAAUCAAUGAAACCAAGCUACUCAAGUGAAGGGCAGAGCGUGUGCAGCCGCUGUGCCUGGGCUCCAGUUGGGCAUCCUGUCUGCUGAUGGACAGCUGGGAGUUUCCUCACCUCUGAAGUCUUACACUGACUGCCUCCAAGCUUUCCUAAAACACCUCACACUCCCCCAGCGCAGUCUCUGAACCUCCUGACUCUGGCAGUAUUUGUCCUUCCAGGAACACAUUAUGCCUCAGAGCUGUGAUGCACAGAGCUCCCAAGGACGUAAGGAGAGCCCAUAAGCACUGAGACAAACCCAGAACUUGUCAUUUUGCUCCAUUUUCUCAUCUAGAAAAUAUAGAUGUUAGAUAAAGUUGCGCUGGGCUCCUGUAACCUUCUCAUUGACAGGACAUCCCACUGCAGGAAUCCAUCCAUAGAAGAGCUCCUGAGCGAGUACAUGCCCUAUCUCACACUGCCGUGGUGAUUUAAAGACACUUCUGUGCCCACUCCCACUCCUGCUGCCCCUCUUGGAGGAUGGAUAAGCUGCACAUCUGCCCAGCAGUGAACAGGUUCUGCAGCCUUUGCCUGAUGAUGAGCUGCCUGUGCCAGCUUCAAUUAGCUGCAAGGAGCCAGAGGUAUCGGAACUGCUUUACUUGUGCAGAGUAAAUCCUUGCUCUCUGACUUUCCCCAACCCUGGAAUUUAUUCCUCGCUUGGAUCUGACCACAUCUGUGGGUCGGGGAGGCAGACACAGGGGAGCGAGGAGGAGUUUUGCAGCCUGCAGCCUCAGGGAGAAGGAGCUGCAGCUCAGCCUUUCACACUGACCCAUUUUUCCAAAAUGUUUAUGUCUGAUCACCCGCUGCUGUUUACCUCCUGGCCUGCCCUCUUGGCUCACCCUGAGCUCCUUAUCAGCCAGCCUCCGCUAUAUAGGAAGCAUAAAACAAAAUGCUAAGAGUCAGAAAUUGGAGAAAACCCUUUUUGCCAGGCACCGAAGCAUCUGCUAAGGGAGCUGUGCAGAAUUAAUGGUGUGGGCAGGAAGGGCUGCGAGUGGAGACCAGCAGGUGCCCCGGUAGCAGCACACAGACAUAUAAAAGGCAGGGUGCCCUCACCCCGGCAGGAACAACUGCUCUCAGUUUUGGGUAGGAAAGGAUUUUCAGGGCCAGUUAUUAGCUCUGAGCGGUGCAUGCAGCUGUUCCAUCCACACUGGGUGCUUCCACACUGCCUGUCUGCAGCUACUGCAGCAGGAACACUCCGAGCAGGAGGCAGAAAGCCAGUUAGGGCUCUCCACAGAGACUUCUUUCUUAUAGCCCUCCGUAUAUGUAUUUUCUAAUGGAUCAGAAGCACAUAACGCUUCUUUGCUUCAUUUUCAGAGCGGUAGGAGAUGAAUCCAACUUCGUGCUCUCCCCUCUGACCUGCCUCAUUACUGAAAGAAAGGGGCAGCCCAAAGCACGUCGAUGCAGAAAAGACCCGUUGGGUCCUGAGAUCCAUCAUGCUGCUGGAGGAAGGGUGGCGACCACUCACCCUGUGCUUUAAAUCCCGAUCGGAUUUCAGAUGCUCAGUGUUAAUUGCCUCAGUACAAGGACUGACCCCAGACAGCAAAACUAAAAUUAAGUUUCAACUUAGAGAUCUGGAUGUGGCAUCUGGGUCAGCUCCUUCAUCUUUCCUGAACCUGAGGAGCAGUGCUACACCUUUGCUUCUGUCUGAAAUAAAAGCAGCUACGAAAGGAUAGUUUACUGGAGACAUCGGAAAGUAUGGAAAUCUCUCUCCAAACUGGGAAAUGGAAUACUGUGCACUGGGAAACACAAUGCAAACGCCUCAUUUUUGCUGUCCCUAACACAACAGAUUUCUAAAGCAGGUUAUUCGUGCCAUCUAUGGCUCUUUGCAGAGGAUUUCACAGUGCCAGCAGUGCCUACUGUAACAUCUUGCAGGAAUUUAAUGAAACAUCGUUCAGAACACAUGCAUCAGCUCAGCGAGAGCCAUUCAACAGACCCUCUGCUGAGGGCCACACCAGAUUCUAAGAGGCACCUUUUUACCUUUAUCAAUCUGACUCCAAAGGCAGAACUAGCAACAAAUCUGAACUUGUGAAAUCCAACUUUUCACACCUUCUUGCUUUUUCUGGUGUUUCCAAGAAGCUUACAGCACCUGAAAACUGCAAUCCGCCAUAUGCUUCACUGGUUCUUAAAUUGCUCUUCAAUUCCCUUGCUCCUCCUUCACCAGCCGAGGUUCUGUCUCAAGGAUGCACCAGGGACACGUGGGUUUAGGCCAAAAGGGCUCACACAGCUUGUGAUAGUUCCACUUCUUCCAGCAUUAAUCCACUUUAAUCCAACUGGAUCACACUCAGGCUUUGGCAGCACCGGUUCUGUUAAUAUUUAAAGGUUAACAAAUUCAACAGAUCCUGUGCAACUUAUAUAUACACAUCGAGAGCUUUGACUGAGAUUCUGUAAAAUGAGUUAAGGAAUGUGAAGGAGAUACCACACAACGACAGCAGGGGUAUUUUUUCCAUAAGAUGUGGAGCAUUAGAAUGCAAGUGCCAUAAUCAUGCUUCAAUAAUGAAGUGAUUUCAUGGAUAUCAGAGACAAAUACAGGAAGAUAUAAACUGUGCAGUUCUCAUACAAAUUCCUCACUGCUUGCAGAACAAACGCAUCCCCAAACCUCUAAAUACCUCGUGCAGGCACAGCAAAUAAAUGAUUUGGGGUGGGAGAUGACAAUCUCUGAGACCCAAGAGGAUGGGGGAAAGAUGCUGAGAGCUGUAAAAGAGCUGUCAAGUGUAUCAUCUUGCUGUUGCUCUCCUUGUUAAAGAUGCGAGAGCACUUGCAGCUGUUAAAUAUUGAGAAGGAGAAACAGCUUAACAUCCAAGUGUGGCCCUCAGAGGGAAUCUUACAGAGCAGUAAGAUUUUUAAAAAGAUGAUGAGAACUUGAGGGACACCAAAAAUCAUACUAAGAAAAGAUAACUACCAAAUGCAACUUCAAAAUACAUAAAAACACCUAACAAAGCCUUCCUCAAAGGCCCUGAUGGAAGAAAAGGUGCUUGCUUACGUCUGUGACAUUUGUACCCAAUUCAAUAAAUUGAUGUUGUGACCGAGGCAUUCUGCACUCAAAUGCAGUAGAAAACAAAGGUCUUGACCAGCUCCAACCUUGAAAGAUACCAGUGCUCUUAGGAAGAGCAGACAUUGACGUGUGCUCAGGAUGACUGCACUCUGGCCAUUUCCCCCAGCUUCCAAUCUUCAUGGGAAAGAGCAUGCUUCUUCACCCAGCCCCGCACAGAGCAGCACAGGAGACAGCGUUAUUCCAGCAGAUGCUGCAGUGACAGACAAAAUAAACUAAAUAAAAAAAUAAAGAUUUCAAGAUCAAAGACGUGAUGUAAAACAAAGCUACAAAGAUGCAACAUUUUCU
ensembl:lncRNA